UCAGGUGAGACUACCCGCUGAACUUAAGCAUAUCACUAAGCGGAGGAAAAGAAACUAACCAGGAUUCCCCUAGUAACGGCGAGUGAACCGGGAAGAGCUCAAGCUGAAAAUCUUCGGAAUUGUGGUCUAUAGGUGCGGACUCGCGCAGCCCCAGGUAUAAAUCCGUUCUUGGAAUUGGGUGCCAGAGAGGGUUAGAGCCCCGUCUUUGACUUGGGUAGCUGUGCGUGGCGAGUCUUUACCGGAGAGUCGGCUUGCUUGGGAAUGCAGGCCAAAAUGGGUGGUAAACUUCAUCUAAAGCUAAAUAUUGGCGAGAGACCGAUAGCGAACAAGUACUGUGAAGGAAAGAUGGAAAGAACUUUGAAAAGAGAGUGAAAAAGGGCUUGAAAUUGUUAAGAGGAGAAGUGAUUGGAGCAUAUCAUACGGCGUGGGGUUCCAGGGACGGGACUUGUCUUGUCUUGCACCAUCCCGCGCUGUUGGUCAGCAUCGGUUCUGUGUGGGGGAGAAAACCCUUUGCGUUGAUGGCUUCGGCUUGAUCGUUUUGGGCGAAACCUUGGACGGGACCGAGGCAGCAAGUCUACGCUUGGCGGCCGGCCCCCUGCCCGUUUUGGGGCGCGUUGUACACCCUUUUGGCGUCUGCGGCGCGUGUUGGAACGAUGCGGGGGAGCGCUGGACCUGUAGACUCGAGAUGUUGGCACAAUGGCUUCAAUCAGCCCGUCUUGAAAC
rnacentral:rRNA from 1 species